rnacentral:rRNA from 1 species
GAUAACGGCGUCGAGCGGCGGACGGGUGAGUAAUGCCUAGGAAAUUGCCCUGAUGUGGGGGAUAACCAUUGGAAACGAUGGCUAAUACCGCAUAAUGCCUACGGGCCAAAGAGGGGGACCUUCGGGCCUCUCGCGUCAGGAUAUGCCUAGGUGGGAUUAGCUAGUUGGUGAGGUAAGGGCUCACCAAGGCGACGAUCCCUAGCUGGUCUGAGAGGAUGAUCAGCCACACUGGAACUGAGACACGGUCCAGACUCCUACGGGAGGCAGCAGUGGGGAAUAUUGCACAAUGGGCGCAAGCCUGAUGCAGCCAUGCCGCGUGUGUGAAGAAGGCCUUCGGGUUGUAAAGCACUUUCAGUCGUGAGGAAGGUAGUGUAGUUAAUAGCUGCAUUAUUUGACGU